UGAGAAAUGGUCAUCUGUAUGGACUGUAUGUAGAUAGGGUAUUAUAUGAAGAAAACUUUGGAACAGCCUAGCUAAAAACAAGAAAAAUAAUAAUCCAAAUAAUAUUGUGAGUUUUAAAGUUCCUUUUUUUUUUGCCAUCUUUGUUUGAAUAGGUUUACAUACGUAAUUUUCACCCAAACCUCCGUCAUUAAAAUCAUAAACACAUUCCGCUCCGAGGUCUAAUGCAGUUCUUAUAACAUUUUACAUU